GCAUGCAAGUCGAGCGAAGCUUUUCAGUAGUUUACUACAGAAAAUGACUGAGCGGCGAACGGGUGAGUAACGCGUGAGCAAUCUACCUUAGUUACAGGGAUAGCCCGAGGAAACUCGGAUUAAUACCUGAUAUUCUUUACAUUUCGCAUGAAAUCAAAAGGAAAGGUCAGCCGAACUAAGAUGAGCUCGCGUUCUAUCAGCUAGUUGGUGAGGUAAAAGCUCACCAAGGCAACGACGGAUAGCUGGUCUGAGAGGACGAUCAGCCACACUGGGACUGAGACACGGCCCAGACUCCUACGGGAGGCUGCAGCAGGGAAUAUUGCGCAAUGAGCGAAAGCUUGACGCAGCGACACCGCGUGUGGGAUGACGGAUCUAGGUUUGUAAACCACUUUCAGGAGGGAAGAAAAUGACGGUACCUCCACAAGAAGCCCCGGCCAACUACGUGCCAGCAGCCGCGGUAAUACGUAGGGGGCGAGCGUUGUCCGGAUUUAUUGGGCGUAAAGAGCCCGUAGGCGGUUCAACAAGUCGGUCGUAAAAGUUCAGGGCUCAACCCUGAAAUGUCGAUCGAUACUGUUGUGACUAGGAUACGGUAGAGGUGAGUGGAAUUCCGAGUGUAGCGGUGAAAUGCGUAGAUAUUCGGAGGAACACCAAUUGCGAAGGCAGCUCACUGGGCCGCUAUCGACGCUGAGGAGCGAAAGCUAGGGGAGCAAACAGGAUUAGAUACCCUGGUAGUCCUAGCUGUAAACGAUGGAUACUAGACGUAGGAACUGGAUUGACGGUUUCUGUGUCGUAGCUAACGCGUUAAGUAUCCCGCCUGGGGAGUACGGUCGCAAGACUAAAACUCAAAGGGAUUGACGGGACCCCGCACAAGCGGCGGAGCAUGCGGCUUAAUUCGAUGAUACCCGUAGAACCUUACCUGGACUUGACAU
rnacentral:rRNA from 1 species